ACCUCACCAUCUCUGCCUGUUUUUCAUAAGUCUGCAGAAACACGAUUUCUUUUUCUCUACUCUCCACCUCUUCCACCUCUCCUGUCUCUUCAUAUUCAUCUCUUCCUUUUGGUUCAAUUCAAUGUAUUCCUCUUAACUUAGGUCAAUAAAUGUUAUUCUCAUUAAACUCAUUGACAAUUUCGAACUCUCUGUCUCCCUUCCCAUACAAUGAGAACCGAAGCACCUCAGACCCUAUAAAUUGGAGUGGGUUGAGAGUAGGAUGAAUCUUCACAAGUUUUUUUUCCCGUGAUUACAUGUUUGAAUGUUGUAGACUUGUAUAUCAUGCUUCUUAGAUAAUCCAGUUUGAUUUCUGAAACAAUUCCUUUCCACUGAGAUUUCCAGGUAUAGCUUACGCAAGCAAGGCUUCGCAGUAGGAAGGUCAGGUAUUUUUGUUAUAACCUCAUAGUCAUAUUCUCAAAAGUUAUUUCUUUGUACACGAGAUAUUGAGCGCUGUAAUCAAUGAGAUCCAGCCUCUGAAACCGGAAUCCGGGGAGUGGAAAAACUGAAUAUAGCCAACGAUGAAUCAAUCCUUUUGUGUUGGAAGUGGUUCCCAGUGGUAUUGUAUAGGAUAUUGAUGUGGAGGCACUGCGGAUAUGGAACGUGUGUUACGUCCGUCUCCUUCUUCCCACAGAGAAGUUAUAGUUUUUGAUCGGCGGCAGAUCCUCCGCCACAUCUUCUCUUCACUAUCUCCGAGUGGCAGAUAUGAUGGAAUCCGGCGAAGGUGGAAGAGAGGAUCCUUCCUGGAAGCUUCCACUGAUCGUGAGAGGUACUUGUCUGAUUUGAUACAAGAGAGACAAAAGUUGGCUUCGCUCUCCGACCUUGAUAUAUAUGAGCCUGGCAGUCCUUUUAGAUCCCUUGGUCCAGCGCUCACAAAUGGAAAGCUUCAUUUUGAGCUUGCAACACACUGUAGGGUGUUUACCUUGCUCAAAGGUAAGCAAGGUUACAAACAUCCAUUUACUGAUCGAAGCCGAGCUUGCAGAGGACAUAAUAAACUCUAGAUUGGAGCAUGCAGUGCAAUUCCUGGAGUCGCUCCUAAAGCCAGUGGACAAGAGGGAACAACUGAAGGAGUUAGGGGCUCUGAAUGGUACGCUAAGGGAAGAGAGUCCAAGUCUGCGCUUGAGCCCAACAGCAAGCGUGCCAAGACUUGAAAAUAAAGAUUUCUACAGGAGAGAUGAGAGACUUCAAUUCAUUUGUUUUUUAGUCAUUAAGUUUAUUCUUUAUUUUUGAAAGUUUUGUUGGCUAACAGAGAUUACUAUACUAUUUAACCAGCAAGUAAUAAUGGUAAAAAGAGCUAUCAAAAUUCAAAUUUGUA